rnacentral:rRNA from 1 species
GAUGAACGCUGGCGGCGUGCCUAAUACGUGCAAGUCGAGCGGUAACACUUCGGGUGACGAGCGGCGGACGGCUGAGUAACGCGUAGGAACAUACCCCAAACUGAGGGAUAAGCACCGGAAACGGUGUCUAAUACCGCAUGUGGUCUUCGGAUUAAAGCUUCGGCGGUUUAGGAAUGGCCUGCGUCCGAUUAGCUUGUUGGUGAGGUAAAAGCUCACCAAGGCGACGAUCGGUAGCUGGUCUGAGAGGAUGAUCAGCCAGACUGGGACUGAGACACGGCCCAGACUCCUACGGGAGGCAGCAGUAGGGAAUUUUCCACAAUGGGCGAAAGCCUGAUGGAGCAACGCCGCGUGCAGGAUGAAGGCCUUCGGGUUGUAAACUGCUUUUAUCUGUGAAGAUUAUGACGGUAGCAGAUGAAUAAGGAUCGGCUAACUCCGUGCCAGCCGCCGCCGUAA